rnacentral:lncRNA from 1 species
GGGGGGGCUGUGUGCCUCUGUCUGCCAGGGUACUCGGGCGAUCUGUGUGAGCUGAAGGAUGACCUGUGCGUCAGCAGCCCAUGCCUUAACGGAGGAACCUGCCUUGGCUUGGUGAACGACUUUGUCUGCAAGUGUGAAAGGGGCUGGACAGGAAAGCGGUGUGACCGACAGCAUGAUCCCUGCCGUGGAGCCAAUCCCUGUCUGCAUGGUACCUGCCACACCCUCUUGGGAGGCCGCUUCCACUGCCAGUGUCUGCCGGGGUACUCGGGUGAGCUGUGCGAGAGGAGGAACGUUUGUACGGCUGACUGUAUCAAUGGAACCUCGCUGUGCCAUGAACAGGGUUGGCAGUGCGACUGCCAAUACGAUGGAGAGACAUGUGGAAGGGAUGCAGUCGUGUCGGCUGCUCCCGGUCCCUGCAGUUCACGGCCAUGUGCAAACAAUGCCACCU